rnacentral:rRNA from 1 species
UACGAAGGGGGCUAGCGUUGUUCGGAAUUACUGGGCUUAAAGCGUGCGCAGGCGGCCAUGAAAGUCAGAAGUGAAAUCCCGGGGCUUAACUCCGGAAUUGCUUUUGAAACUCCAUGGCUUGAAUCCGGGAGAGGUUAGCAGAAUUCCGAGUGUAGCAGUGAAAUGCGCAGAUAUUCGGAGGAAUACCAGUGGCGAAGGCGGCUAACUGGACCGGCAUUAACGCUCAUGCACGAAAGCGUGGGGAGCAAACAGG